GGCUUGGCGGCCAAAGUGCGGUGGACCCACCUGAAACCAUCCCGAACUCAGAAGUGAAACGCCGUUGCGCCGAGGGUAGUGUGGGGUUUCCCCAUGUGAGACUAGGACACCGCCAGGCUC
rnacentral:rRNA from 3 species